rnacentral:rRNA from 1 species
UACGAGGGGGGCAAAUGUUGUUCGGAAUCACUGGGCGUAAAGGGAGCGUAGGCGGGUUUCUAAGUCAGGUGUUUAAUCCCGGGGCCCAACCCCGGACAGGCACUUGAAACUGGGGAUCUUGAAUAGGGGAGAGGUCGGUGGAAUUGGAGGUGUAGCGGUGGAAUGCGUAGAGAUCUCCAAGAACACCAGUUGCGAAGGCGGCCGACUGGACCCAUAUUGACGCUGAGGCUCGAAAGCAUGGGGAGCAAACAGG